UUAGGGUUGGAGCUAGGGUUAGGGUUAGGGUUAGGGUUGGAGUUAGGGUUAGUGUUGGAGCUAGGGUUAGGGUUGGGCUUGGAGCUAGGAUUUUUCUGAGUGCAAUGAACCAACUCCCGAGUCUCUAGGACGUUCCUAAAAAAAUUUGAUUUUUUUCCUAUAGGAAUGCAUGGGUUAGGGUUAGGGUUAGGGUUGGAGUUAGGGUUAGUGUUGGAGCUAGGGUUAGGGUUGGGCUUGGAGCUAGGAUUUUUCUGAGUGCAAUGAACCAACUCCCGAGUCUCUAGGACAUUCCUAAAAAAAUUUGAUUUUUUCCCAUAGGAAUGCAUGGGUUAGGGUUAUGGUUAGGGUUAGGGUUGGAGCUAGGGUUAGGGUUAGGGUUAGGGUUGGAGUUAGGGUUAGUGUUGGAGCUAGGGUUAGGGUUGGGCUUGGAGCUAGGAUUUUUCUGAGUGCAAUGAACCAACUCCCGAGUCUCUUGGACGUUCCUAAAAAAAUUUGAUUUUUUCCCAUAGGAAUGCAUGGGUUAGGGUUAGGGUUAGGGUUGGAGCUAGGGUUAGGGUUAGGGUUAGGGUUAGGGUUGGAGUCAGGGUUAGUGUUGGAGCUAGGGUUAGGGUUGGGCUUGGAGCUAGGAUUUUUCUGAGUGCAAUGAACCAACUCCCGAGUCUCUAGGACUUUCCUAAAAAAAUUUGAUUUUUUCCCAUAGGAAUGCAUGGGUUAGGGUUAGGGUUAGGGUUGGAGCUAGGGUUAGGGUUAGGGUUAGGGUUGGAGUUAGGGUUAGUGUUGGAGCUAGGGUUAGGGUUGGGCUUGGAGCUAGGAUUUUUCUGAGUGCACUGAACCAACUCCCGAGUCUCUAGGACAUUCCUAAAAAAAUUUGAUUUUUUCCCAUAGGAAUGCAUGGGUUAGGGUUAUGGUUAGGGUUAGGGUUGGAGCUAGGGUUAGGGUUAGGGUUAGGGUUGGAGUUAGGGUUAGUGUUGGAGCUAGGGUUAGGGUUGGGCUUGGAGCUAGGAUUUUUCUGAGUGCAAUGAACCAACUCCCGAGUCUCUAGGACGUUCCUAAAAAAAUUUGAUUUUUUCCCAUAGGAAUGCAUGGGUUAGGGUUAGGGUUAGGGUUGGAGCAAGGGUUAGGGUUAGGGUUAGGGUUAGGGUUGGAGUCAGGGUUAGUGUUGGAGCUAGGGUUAGGGUUGGGCUUGGAGCUAGGAUUUUUCUGAGUGCACUGAACCAACUCCCGAGUCUCUAGGACAUUCCUAAAAAAAUUUGAUUUUUUCCCAUAGGAAUGCAUGGGUUAGGGUUAUGGUUAGGGUUAGGGUUGGAGCUAGGGUUAGGGUUAGGGUUAGGGUUGGAGUUAGGGUUAGUGUUGGAGCUAGGGUUAGGGUUGGGCUUGGAGCUAGGAUUUUUCUGAGUGCAAUGAACCAACUCCCGAGUCUCUUGGACGUUCCUAAAAAAAUUUGAUUUUUUCCCAUGGGAAUGCAUGGGUUAGGGUUAUGGUUAGGGUUGGAGCUAGGGUUAGGGUUAGGGUUA